AACGAACGCUGGCGGCAGGCCUAACACAUGCAAGUCGAGCGAAGCCUUCGGGCUUAGCGGCGGACGGGUGAGUAACGCGUGGGAACGUGCCCUUUGGUACGGAAUAGCCCCGGGAAACUGGGAGUAAUACCGUAUGUGGUCGAGAGACGAAAGAUUUAUCGCCAAAGGAUCGGCCCGCGGUGGAUCAGGUAGUUGGUGGGGUAAUGGCCUACCAAGCCGACGAUCCAUAGCUGGUUUGAGAGGAUGAUCAGCCACACUGGGACUGAGACACGGCCCAGACUCCUACGGGAGGCAGCAGUGGGGAAUCUUAGACAAUGGGGGAAACCCUGAUCUAGCCAUGCCGCGUGAUCGAUGAAGGCCUUAGGGUUGUAAAGAUCUUUCAGUGGGGAAGAUAAUGACUGUACCCACAGAAGAAGCCCCGGCUAACUCCGUGCCAGCCGCCGCAGUAAAAC
rnacentral:rRNA from 1 species